rnacentral:rRNA from 1 species
GUGCCAGCAGCCGCGGUAAUACGUAGGGUGCAAGCGUUAAUCGGAAUUACUGGGCGUAAAGCGUGCGCAGGCGGCUAUGCAAGACAGAUGUGAAAUCCCCGGGCUCAACCUGGGAACUGCAUUUGUGACUGCAUGGCUAGAGUACGGUAGAGGGGGAUGGAAUUCCGCGUGUAGCAGUGAAAUGCGUAGAUAUGCGGAGGAACACCGAUGGCGAAGGCAAUCCCCUGGACCUGUACUGACGCUCAUGCACGAAAGCGUGGGGAGCAAACAGGAUUAGAAACCCGUGUAGUCC